GGUUUUUUUACUUGUAUUUUCAAAUCUAAUAUUAUUAUUUAGUAUAACAUAAAUUAUUUUGAUGGGAAACUCAUAUUUUCAAUGUUUUAGGUAUAUAACUAGUUUGCCUUCCAAAAAAGGCAAAUUAAUUGCACCAAUUAUUAAUUAGCCCCAUCAGUUUAUAAGAUAGGUGGGAGAAGGGUCUGCCAUUUUUAGUUAUAAUCUAAAACCCCCAAAAAACAGAACAGUAGUUUUUUUCUGAAAAUCAGAUUUCUCACAGAAUGAAAUAAAUUAAAAACUCAUACUUGUUAUAUUCCCUUAAAACAAUAGAAGAAUGAUGUAGAUGGAGUAUAUGUCCUUAUCAUGCAACUCAGAUUAUAUACCUAAAAAUAUGCAACUCAUAGUUAUUUGAAAAAUUAAUAUAGAAACCUAGAUUGAAACCUUUAAAAAGUUGCCAAAAAUCACCAUUUAAAAUUAGUUGAUUUAUUAAAAUUUUGAACAGGAAGUUUAUUCAAUGUAUUUAAGACAAAAAUUAAUGUUGGUAGAUAUUACAUAAAACCUAGAAAUCUAUUUCCCCAUAUUAAAAACGAAUAAUGAAGUAAGAAAAGAGAGAGAGAAAUGACGGGAAAAAAUGAAUACACAAUAGAUAGUUCAAAUGAUUAAAUGGUAAGUGAAAAGGAUUUAAAAAAUAAAAAACAGUGAGGAAAAAUAUUAUCUCCAAUGGCUGUGUCUCAUAGCUUAUUAGUCUCUUAUCAAAUGCACUGUUUUAAAGAAAAUUAUUGCAGUAAUGCUAAUUUCUUUAUAUAUUUUGGACAUGAAAACCUGUAUUAGGAGGCAACAAAAUAAUUUGCACAGUAGUAUGAAUACUGUAUUUGAUAAACAAUAAUUUUUUAAGAUGGGUUUGUAGAGUACCACGGACUAUAUUUCAGAUUUCAAAAGUAGAAGAUAUGAGCAAUUUCUUCUAAUAAAUGUUUACAAAAUGAUCAGGUAAAUAAAUCACCUUUUACAAAUCUAUCAAAUUAAAAAAUUGAAAUCUGGAGAAGUUAGGAGGCUUGCCAAAUAGUUCAAAGAAAGUAUUUUUAUGAGACUCCAACACUAUUGACUUUCAGCUUAACACUUGUUUAUAUCAUGCACAAUAUCAAAUAUAGAGUAUAAGAAGGGAAUAUAAUACAGAAAGUAAUAUAAUCAUUUCAAAAAAAGUGAAGCUGAAUUUUUAAAAAAUAUAAUUCUCCUAUAAUUUUUUAGGUACUUGAAAAUUAUAUUGGCCUAUUUUAUUUAUUUUGUUAGAUAGUGAUGGUGCAAAUACUGGUCUUUAGAAACAGAACAAUGCUCCAAAAUUACCCUAUGCUGCAUAUUGCCAAUAAUAUAACUGUAAGAUAUGUAUUUAGUCUUAAACUAUCUUAUUUAUCACCAAAUACCUACAGCUAACAGCUGAAGGGAACGAUACAAUUCUGAAUAAGCAUGUAUAAAGAAUGCUUAGGGCUUAAGCACAA
rnacentral:lncRNA from 1 species